UUUAUCUGCACAUGCACAUUUAUGUGUGCAGGGUAUACCCUGCACAUAUAAAUGUGCAUGUGCAGAUAAAGC
rnacentral:miRNA from 1 species